AAGCAUGUCAGACCACCAUUUCCCUCAAGCGUAGGGAGUGAUGGUGUCCAAAACACAUGCAAGAAGAAGAUUUGGGAGUUCACAGGAUCAGUGAUCUUCUAGAGGUGAUCGGCUGGUAGUAUCAGACUCCUACACUG